AGCGUCCGAGGGAGCAAGUGAGGGAGAGAUAGCCAUGAUGGGAAUGCAGGCCGGCUACAUUUGGGUGCCAGAGUGAUGAACGGGGGCUCGCAGAACCGUGGACAGAGGACCGUGUUGUAGGGCAUCGAAGCUCCCUUCUGGAAGCUGGAGGCUGCGUCUAAGGCAAGGAAACGAGUCAGGAAGUCCUGGGCCUGGAGAGUUACUGUGCGUGCAAAGACUGCGGCUUUGGAGGUCAGAAUUCCUGAUGUUGAUUCCCAGAUCUGUUCUUCCCAGCAGAUGGUUUUGGGUGGAGAAGAUGGCCAGGAGGUCCCUCCAGGCAGCCAGAUCAGUCAAAGCAAAGCUGUAAGGGACAUCACCAAAGGAGGUCUUCAACACAGCAUGACAAGGCAUAAUAGGCAUCUACAAGGUUUCCCUGGAGUUACGGCGGGCAACGCUCACAUCCCCACCCAUUGACGCUGGAUUUGGCCAUGUGGUUUGUUUGGCCAGUGAGCUAUUAGCAGAUACGAUGCAGACAGAAGCUGGAAAUGCACUUGCCCUUCUGCCAUCAGGUAGCUCUUCCCCUCCAGCCCAGACCCCAGAAUGAGACAUGUGGAACAGACGUGACCCACACCUGCAGCCUGCAGCCAAGCCCCACUGAACACAGCUGAGAUCAGCACAAGACUGACCCACCUGCAGACCCCUGAACGAGAAAAUAAAGGU